AGGUAAGCUACUAAGAGCGAAUGGUGGAUGCCUUGACUGGUAAAGGCGAUGAAGGACGUACUAGACUGCGAUAAGCUACGGGGAGCUGUCAAGAAGCUUUGAUCCGUAGAUUUCCGAAUGGGGCAACCCAAUGUAUAGAGAUAUACAUUACCUAUAUAGGAGCGAACGAGGGGAAUUGAAACAUCUUAGUACCCUCAGGAAAAGAAAUCAAUAGAGAUUGCGUCAGUAGCGGCGAGCGAAAGCGCAAGAGGGCAAACCCAGUGCUUGCACUGGGGGUUGUAGGACUGCAAUGUGCAAGAGCUGAGUUUAGCAGAACAUUCUGGAAAGUAUAGCCAUAGAGGGUGAUAGUCCCGUAUGCGAAAAACAAAGCUUAGCUAGCAGUAUCCUGAGUAGGGCGGGACACGAGGAAUCCUGUCUGAAUCCGGGUCGACCACGAUCCAACCCUAAAUACUAAUACCAGAUCGAUAGUGCACAAGUACCGUGAGGGAAAGGUGAAAAGAACUGAGGUGAUCAGAGUGAAAUAGAACCUGAAACCAUUUGCUUACAAUCAUUCAGAGCACUAUGUAGCAAUACAGUGUGAUGGACUGCCUUUUGCAUAAUGAGCCUGCGAGUUGUGGUGUCUGGCAAGGUUAAGCAAACGCGAAGCCGUAGCGAAAGCGAGUCUGAAUAGGGCGCUUAGUCAGAUGCUGCAGACCCGAAACGAAGUGAUCUAUCCAUGAGCAAGUUGAAGCUAGUGUAAGAACUAGUGGAGGACUGAACCCAUAGGCGUUGAAAAGCCCCAGGAUGACUUGUGGAUAGGGGUGAAAGGCCAAUCAAACUUCGUGAUAGCUGGUUCUCUCCGAAAUAUAUUUAGGUAUAGCGUUGUGUCGUAAUAUAAGGGGGUAGAGCACUGAAUGGGCUAGGGCAUACACCAAUGUACCAAACCCUAUCAAACUCCGAAUACCUUAUAUGUAAUCACAGCAGUCAGGCGGCGAGUGAUAAAAUCCGUCGUCAAGAGGGAAACAACCCAGACUACCAGCUAAGGUCCCUAAAUCUUACUUAAGUGGAAAACGAUGUGAAGUUACUUAAACAACCAGGAGGUUGGCUUAGAAGCAGCCAUCCUUUAAAGAAAGCGUAAUAGCUCACUGGUCUAGUGAUUUUGCGCGGAAAAUAUAACGGGGCUAAAGUAAGUACCGAAGCUGUAGACUUGCACACAACUUAGAUUAUUUAAGUUUAGAAUAAGUAGUUUA
rnacentral:rRNA from 1 species